rnacentral:rRNA from 1 species
AGUGGCGCACGGGUGAGUAACACUUGUACUAACCUACCCUUGAGUGGGGGAUAACUGAGGGAAACCUUAUCUAAUACCGCAUAAUACCCACGGUUCAAAGGAGCAAUUCGCUCGAGGAGGGGGUCGCGGCCGAUUAGUUAGUUGGCGGGGUAAUGGCCCACCAAGACAAUGAUCGGUAUCCGGCCUGAGAGGGGGCAGGGGACACACUGGAACUGAAACACGGUCCAGACUCCUACGGGAGGCAGCAGUGGGGAAUUUUGCGCAUGGGGGAAACCCUGACCCACCCCCCCCGUGGAGGAGAGUCCUUCGGGACGUAAACUCCUUUCGAUCGGGACGAUUAUGACGGUACCGGAAGAAAAAGCCCCGGCUAACUUCGUGCCACCAGCCCCGGUAAUACGAGGGGGGCGAGCGUUGUUCGGAUUUAUUGGGCGUAAAGGGUGCGGAGGGCGGGUUUGGUAAG